GUACAGAUUCAAAACUUAUCAACUUCCUUUGCCCAGGGUGGCCAACGUUCCCUGCUGGAGGCUUGUUCCACGCCAGAGAGGUACUAAAAUGAGCUCCUUUCUUGAGAGCUGAGACCAUGUGUAAUUAUUCAGAUUCUUUACUGCGGGAAGCAUGCCAGAAUUAUGAUAGCUAUUCUCCUCUCUGCCGAUAAGCAGAUGUUCCAAUUCUUCUUAUUGUACCUCCCGUGAAAUCAAAGCUCUGCUUCCAGGAAGGUAACACAAUGAGAUUGAAAAUUUAAGUCUGAGUUGUUCCCCGCUGCUCCAGCUCUUGCUGAGCGUCACAAGGCUUCUCUGCAGAGCUCCCUCCGGGGGUAUGGGAGGAGGUUUGCCAAGGUCAGAAAUGUCCUGCGCUGGUCUGACAUAAUAUAUGUGUGUCAUGAUAAGUAGACUGGAGGUGGGCCAGAGCAUAAAUUGGAAAGAUUUUUAGGGCAGCAAAUUAAUUAAGAGCAGACAUCAAGUAAAAAAGGAAUGUGCUUUUCCCUCCCCCAACAAGAAGGUUUGUUCCAGGCAGCCACACUUCCAUUAAAGCACAUUGCAUUAUUAUUUGUGUGUUUUAUGUGUUUUUAAUUUUUAAAUAGUUUUUAUUUGGUUUUACAAAUUAAUGUUCACAUUCAAAAUCACAAAUAAUUACAAAUACACGAGAUUCUUCAGAAUCUCUAGAUUUCCCUCCUCUGCUCUGUGGACUUUUUACUUAACCUUUUCAGCUGCACACUAUAAGUCACUCUAAUUUUCCAGUUCUCCGUUGUGUCCAAAGUCUUUGUUACAUUACAAGAGUUAUUUAAGACCUGCUAAAGUGUUUAACUGUUUACAGUGGUCUCUCAGAUAUAAUAUAAAUUUCCUCCAUUCUUUGUUAAAGUUUUGGUCCUCCUGAUUUCUGAUUUUCCCAGUCAUUUUUGCCACCUCCGUGUAGUGUAACAACUUAGUCUGCCAUUCCACUCUGGUCCAUAGGAACCUUAUCGUCUUUCCAACUCUGAGCUACCAGCAUCCUUGCUACUGCCUCGUGUGUUUUUUAAAGCCACAAGUUGGAGGAUAAAUUUUCUAGCUUCAAACUGACUCCAAACUAGACCCAAAAAGAGAGUGGGGAAAAAACCUGUAAAAAUUGCCCCCCACUUGGUGCCCACAUUGUUAGGUUGUGGGUGAACAUAUCAGACGACACCACGAUUCUUCAAACAGCUCUUGUUUAUUCAGAGGCCAGAACAGAACUGAACUGAAGGGUUCAGCCAGCCUGCUUAUAUAGAGCUCCAGUACAACGUAACUGUAACAACUUUCUGUAACUAUCCAAUCACUGAAUGUCACUUUCGAUCCCUUAUUUGCAUAUGUGGACCUGAACUAUCUACAGUAUCACCUUGCUGGUCCAGGGUGAGAACUUCAGUACAUAACACACAUCAUAUCCAUGUAUCAGACAUCAAGUAUUAAAAAAAUAGAUAAGCAGAUCUCCCCCUCUCCCCAAAACAAAGCACUUAGAACAGAAAAACCAAAAUCCUCUCUCUGGCCCUUCAGACUUUCCUUGGCCACACCCACUUCUCCAGGCCACGCUCCUUGCUGGCCCUCCUUUGUGUGGCUGGAAUGUGCCCUUGAUGGAGGGUAGAGGAAAGAGGUGAGUGACUGGGUGCAGAAACUGGCCUACUGUACAAAAAUGAAAUUCGCAGUUGUUGCUCUGCCUAUUUUUGCCUCUGGCCCCGCCCAGGGCAAGCAUGUGGUCCCCAGAAGGUUGCUCAAAAAGGAAUGGAGACCUCAGGUUGAAAAGGGUUCCCCCUUUCCUGGUUUAAGAUCUGAGUCAGUUAAUACUGACCCAGCGGAUGCGAUGACUUAUUGGAAUAAUAAUCAUGUUCAAUAGGAACGGAACUAUGGGUCAUCCUAGCCCCCCAAUUUGCAAACCCCUGAUCUUAAAUCUCUACACUAGUUUCCGUGUGUGUGUGUGUGUGUGUGUUAUUAAUUUUGAAACUGAAUUUGUUGCUUAGGUAGGCAGCAAUAGCUUUCACAGCAGCUUCUGUAACCCCAAGGAGAGCAGGUGCUUUAUUGCACAGCUCUGACAAUGGCACUUGAGUUGUCCUGCCUUAUCACAUUUCCAUUUAUCUUGCUGGCUAGAAAAAAGAUUGCCUACUGUCGAAAUGAUUGUUUGUGAUGGAGGCACAUAAGGGUUAGAAUGAAACAAAUAACACUAUUCCCCCCUCCUUACCUCAGGCAGGGUUACCUGGAGGUAAAGGGCCUUUGUAGAUAUUUCUGAGUCACGCUGUAUUUUCUCUGAAAGUUAUUGCCUAUAGAAUACUUUUCACUCAUCUAUAUGCAAGGAAAUGUUUGCAGAAGCCUUGCUUAUAGGAACAAAGCAUCAGCUUAAACAGGUUUAUGACUCUGAGCAGAACAAUAUGAACCUCUCCUCUUCGCCUGCUUUUCCCAUAGGCAGGUAGAAAGGAAAGCUCUGUAUGAUUAAGGAACCUUCUAGAGUGAUAUUUAAUGUGUCCUCCUUGUGAUUUUGUACAUUCUGAUGUAACAGCAGAUACGUUCUCCCACCCUUACCCCAAGAAGAGGAAACCACCAACAAAAGCUGAGAUAACAGAGGCAAACGGUCAGUUCAGAAGACUAGAAAUAACCUUGGUAAUGGAAAAGAAAUGAGUUGUUGGUGGGAGGUUCUUCUUGGGGAAAGGUGGUAGAGUUGGAAGGGACCUCAGCGGUCAUCUAGUCCAACCCCCUGCAAUGCAGGAAUAUCAGCUAAAGUGUCCAUGACAGAUGGCCAUCCAACCUCUGCUUAAAAACCUCCAAGGAAGGAGAGUCCACCACCUCUCGUGGGAGUCUGUUCCACUGCCAAACAGAAGGUUUUUGGGAAUGUUUAGUUGGAAUCCCCUUUCUUGUAACUUGAAGCCAUUGCCUCGAGUCCUACCCUCAACAUCACCACAAAGCAUCACAUCCAACUAUGCAUGGCUGUCUUUGCAUUGGCAAGCUGAGCACGAAUCAAGGUGCUUAAUUCGCUUAAUUCAAGGUGAUAGCAACUGGCAUGCUGACAGUGUCAUCCACACACAGACACACAUGCAAACUGCCUCAUUUCCCAGGAACCCGGCAGAACUUGCACAAUUUGGCAGGCUGUGCUGCAACCUGGGAUUUUCUUAAUAAUAUCCUUACUUGGGGACAGACAGCCAUACCAGUCAAAUAGCAUUCUUCUCUUGGACCCACUGUAUCACAGGCAAAUAGAUCAAAGUGCUUAAUGAUGGGUGUGUGAGUUCCGCUCAGCCACAACCCUGUUUUUUCCCAUGCAGAGCAGAAUGAAGGGGGUGGGGGGAAUCACCACCAGACACCAACUAAUGAUUAAAGCCAAAUGAAGCCCUGCAGUGACUCGGAUUUAAUUUUUACUGUAAGCUGUGCCUUUCCUGGUCAUCAGAACUCCAUUCUGAGAAAAACAGUUCCCAUCAUUCAAUCAAUUAAUGCAGAACAGGCCGUUUCAUGUUUCUAAUGUGAUGGAAAGUAAAUGCAUGUCGUUUGAUGCCAAAUUGAAUGUAGGAAUGAACUGUAAUUCAUGUAUAGUUUUGUACAUUUUUCUAAAAUUGCAGCCUUCAGUACCAUCUGGGUCUUUCAAAUCACAAUAAUUCCAGAGCUAGGAAUGUUUCAUUAAGGCAGCAAAGAAAAUGGGAAGAGGUGGGAGGGGGAAGACUUGGGUAGCAUUAAAAUGACCCGAGGUUGAAGGCAUUUUUUUCCUGAAAUGUACCUGCUCCUUCUUCCUGUAACACCAGAUGCCAUUUCCUUAGCUAUAUAUUCAUAGUGUCCAUAAAGCAAUUUUAUGUAGAUUCUCUUUGUAAAACUUAUAAGACAGGUUAGUAUUGUUAUCAUCCCUCAAUGGUUGGGCAAGAUGGUGGCUUGUCUAAAUCCUUUUUCUGAAUUUUGGAUAGAAGGGAGGGAUUUCUCAUCUCAGUCAGGAGCCACCAGUGCUACAAUUUGGAAUACUGUUGCCUCAUGUGUUGAACCACCAGAACUGCCACUAGGACAAUCUACUUGGGCAGUGAAGUUUUGUCAACCUCUGAACUGACACCACCCCCCUUACUAGACAGGAAGGACUACAAAGGGCUUCCAGUUUGGUUUGGGACUUUUCAUUGUCUCUUUAGAUCCAAUAUGUUCCUCGGCUCUUUGACUCCCUGACAGAACUCCUGGUUCUUGGCUUUCCUCUGAAUGUUGUCCAUGGCUCAGGCCUCACAAAGCGAUAGAUUAUACACAUAACAGCCACCACACUAUGCUAGCUCUCAGUGUUGCCCAUAUGUCAUUUAUUCAUAUCUAAAGCAACUCCCUCUCAGGAGAAAUAACAGCUUUACAUUUCCACCCUCUUUAUGUCUCUGAUAGCUUGCCGUAGGAUGGUGCCUCAUAAAAUAUCUCAUAAGAACAAAAAAGGGAUGGAAAUGAAUAUAUCCAUAGGUACAGAACGCAUCUAUUGAAUGCUAAAUGCUAUGGAUUCCAGACAAAAAACUAAUUUGGAGUCUGUAAGCUUGGUUAAGCCAAUAAGGGCCUUCUGGUGGGGUGGGGGCUUCUCCAUUCUCUUCAGCAAAGGCAGUAGUCUUUAUUGUGUGCAUUUCACGGAACCUGAGUGAGUGGAGAAGCCCUUUUAUGGAGGGUAUGCUUUGAAUACCUCAAAUAUCUAUUGCCUACAAUAAAUCACUGAAGCAUCCAUCUGCAUGCUCAGAAUUUCCCCUUUUGUUGAAGAGGAAAGGAAGUGUGUGUGUGUGUGUGUAGCAUAGCAGACCUUACAUGUUUGCAAAGGAUCACAUGAUCAGAAUAUAAGCACAAUCUAGCAAAGCACUCUUCUUUCUGACAGCAAAUAGCCAGUUGUAUCCUAAAGCUCAAAGGUAAGUGGAGGAGGUAUAAAGAUACUGCUGCACAUAGGCCUACUGACCUUUGAAUAAGGAGGUGUGAUUUAGUUCUCACAGCCAGUGAGGAGGCUAAUUCUUCACAUUUUGGCCUUCAUUCUAUUUUAAAAUCUAGAGGCCCUCACAACCUGUGCUAUAGAGUUCACUAAGCUGCAAUCCCAUACAGUCAUACCUCGUGUUACGUUUGCUUCACGUUGCGGCUUUUCAGGUUACAAACGCGGCAAACCCGGAAGUGUUUACUUCCAGGUUCGCCACGUGCACAUGUGCAGAAGUGAUCUGCAUGCUUUGCGCACGCACAGUAGCGGCACUCUACUUAUGGACUUUUCGGUGUGCGAACGGCACCCCGAAACAGAUCAUGUUCAUAAGUAGAGGUACCACUGUACACUUAUCUGGGAAUUUUACUUGACAUUUAAUUUAAUUGCACUUUCUGAUAUAGUUAUACAUCAAUAUUCACACUUCUCAGAAUUUUGUGAUGCAGUUGCAUUGCAAAAAAAUGUGAAUUUUAGGCAAAAUUGCAUACAAAAAUGUGUAUGUGAGGAGAAAUUUACAUUCAAAUGGUAACAAUUUUAAUGAGGAAAACCAAACUGAUAUGGAUAUGUGGAAAACUGAACUUAAGAUUGAAAAAAAUGAGAAAGAGAAACCAAAAUUGACAGAUUUGCCUAUCCCUAUAAGAGUGUAAGAAUAGCCACUGGAUUCAGCCAGUGGCCUGCUUAAUCCAGCAUGUUGUGCUCACAGUGGCCAAUCAGGUGACCACAGGAAGCCGACAAGCAGGACCUGAGCACAACAGCACUCUCCCUCCUGCAGUUUUCCAGCAACUGAUACUCACAAGCAUACUGUCUCCAACCAUGGAAGCAACUCAUUGGGUCUUGGUUCUGAGCAGACUUCAACAGGGCUGCAGUAAUAAGCAAGGGUAGUGGUGUGUUGACCAUCAAGCCCAGAACAAUACUCAUUCAAAGCACUGAUUAUUAGAAACAUGUUGUGAAUGUAUAGAUCAUAGACACUGAAACACAACUGCAGGAUGGUCACAAAGCAUGUUAAUUUUUUUAAGUCACUAUAUACAUAAAAAACAUAGUAAUUGUUAUUCUGUGUUGUAGCCAGCUAAGUCAAACUGAGAGUAGACCCACUGGAAUUGAUAUACUUAAGUUAGCUUCAUCUAUCAAUUUCUGUGGGUUUGUAUGACCCACUUGGAAUCAAACCAAUAAUAAUAGCAACUAUAAUCCAAGUCCAGUGAAAGUUGGUCAUGCUUAAGUGCCUUGAAAUCCAUAGGCCAAGCUAGUUGCAACUCCUUUGCUACCAUCCAUUUCAGUGGGGUUUUAUUGUGACUGACAUCUUUGAACUAAGGCCACUGAUAAUAGAAAUUUUAAAAGUGGCCACAGAAAUCCACUGUCUGACCUCAGUAGUAUGUUUUCAGUUUGUUCUGUUUUAUCCAUCGGUGCUGAAAGGAGAAAGUGCAAUAGGAAAACAACUUUGAAACCAAUCACCAUUAAUGAUUAUCCUAAAGAGUAAUUACAACUCCCACAGGCACCAUUAAAUUUCAUGUUAACAGAGUGCAGAAUGCAGACUAAAGAGCAGCAGAACUGCCCAGUUUUGUUCUCACUAAUCCCCCCUCUCAUAAGAUGUCAAGGAAUGAACCAAAAUAGCAUUAAAGGUCUGGAUUAGUGCAAGCAGACAGAAAACGCCUUCCUGCCUACGCUUGCUUGGAAAAUGAUAAGGUAAACUCAGUAAUUUUGAAACCAAUUAUGUAUCUUAGUGCAUCGCCAGGCUGUUCAUGCAUCAACUGCUUUAGGAGCAUGCGAGACCACUGCUGGCUCGUGAUGGGGUGCUGUUCACAUGACAACUCCAUUUUCUGAUCUGGUACCUCCACGUUGGGGCAGCAGCUGUGCACAUGGCCAUGUUGCAAUAGGCAUGAACACAACAGCUCAAGUAAGGCUGCACAUCAUGGAGAUGAUAAGUGCAUCCCAUGUGAAUGUACCACAUCAUACAAACAAGGUGUCCUAAUGCUGUGAAGCUAGCAGUAACCCUGUAUGCUCUCAGAGGCUAUAACAUGGCUGGCAGCGGCAAGGACUCUGAAUGGAUGAACAUCAAUCAUUCUCAAUAUAUGGGAUCUUCCUUAUCAUAUCUCUGAGAAGGAAUAAACUAGUUUAGCCAGGCUUUUUUCAACUAAAAAUAUCAACUGAAUAUCCGUUUGAUUUUAAUACUACAUUGCCAGCCACUUGAGCUAAGUACAAGAUGAAAUAUAAAACAAAAUGUGCUGUGGUUAAAAAACAACAACUCUAAAUUCCACAUUAGGUUUUAUAGAUAUUAUGGUCAGUACAGGGCACAAUAACCUUGUCUAUUGCCCAGUACAGGACAAGUGGUAUAAGGACAGGGGUAGCCAACAUGUGCCCUCCACACUGCAGCUUCCAUAAUCACUGGCCACUAGCCAUGCUUGCUGGGGUUGAUUGGCGUCGGAGCCCAGCAAAUCUGGAGAUCACCCCAUUGGCUCUCCUUGGUACAAGGCAUACUUGUAAUAUCAAGGUAUGAAACUGAAUGUUCUGGAUGAAUAGGAAAGGGGAAUCAGUUUAUAGAGAGCAUUGCUAGAUUUGUAGGCCGAAGGUUUCAUCUUCCAUCCAUGGCCUCUUCAGGUAAGGCUGGGAAGGACUCCUGUAUUAAACUCUUAACACUGCUAGUCAGUGUAGCAUACCAGGAAUGGAGAUCCAGCUGCUAUCACUGCCAAGUCUUCUAUUUCCCCUGAUAUUAAUUUCUUUGCACAGUCUGAAGGAAAAAUGUUAUUGCAUUGGAAAACACACGAAUCCUGCAGAUCAGCCAGCUCUUCCACUGUUCUUGCUCUUGCUGAUUCUUUUUUAUGCAGCAAGAAUAUAUUUUAAAUUAAAAAUAUUUAGAACCAACGUAUCCAUUCUUCUUCAGCACAGAGACCCCUGUGCAGAAAGCAAGUCACUAAUUCAUUUUAAAGGCUUCCUUCCCCUUUCAUUUGGAACAUUCAUUUCAGUGGGUUACACGGCUGGGGUACAUGCCAUGAUGGCAACAUAUAAGAUACUCUAUUAAGAAAAUCAUCUCCCCCUCCUAGAAAAAAACCCCACCACCCCAACUAAGCAAUCAAUAAUCUUCAGCUGAGAGAAAGUGCAAGAUAAGACGAAGGAAAAUUACAGCAGGAGUUGACGGCUUAUGAAGGGAAUUCUUCCUCAGUGGCUAAUCCUCUCCACAUGCUCUAACGAAGGAAGCAUUAUCUCAAACGGCCAUGUGUGUCUCAUUGAUUCCAAUUGGGCUUUCCUCCCUUCUUGUAAAUGCCUUACACUUUGAGGGGAAGAAUAUUUUUAAAGCCCACCAGAGAGUGUUUUCUUAGUUGCCCUUCAGAGUAUGUUAAGAAUUUGCUGUCAGAGCUUGGUGCUGCAACAUCUGGAAACUUCCUGUAUGUGGUCAUCUGACAGAUGCUGAACACAGGCAUUCUUAUUUUAUUUUAUUUUAUUAAAUUUGUGAGUCACUCACAGAACAUCCACUGCCACACCUCGAGAUGUAAAGGAGAAGUAGAGUUGUGUGUCAUUGGUAUAUUGCUGACAACAUACUCCAAAACACAUGUUUGAUGUGCAUCCUGUUUGAUAUGCAAACAUCAUCACAGACCACCCAGAGCCAGCCCAAGACAUUUUGCUACCUGAGGUGAAGCACCAAAUGGCACCUCCCUCAAAUCAAGUGACCUAGUAUCCAAUCAAAGCCUGUGAAAAUACAGGAAAGGAGAAGAAUGUCACCAAAGCCAGGAGUCACAUGUCAAGCGUGACUACAAGAUGCAACAACACAGAGGGCCCCCAAGUCCACAAAAUACAAAGACAGUCUAUAAAACCCAUUUAAAAAAACAUAAGAUAUGUGGGAUAUUAUUAACAGGAGUAGCAAUGCUGUAUGCAGUAAUAGCAAUACAAAAAACACAUGUGAAAUAAAUCACAAUGGUGGUACAUAAAAAUGCAUGUGUGAGAUACUGAGGCCAAAAAACCUCACUCCUUGAACUGAAAAUACUAUAGUGGAGGAGAUCUCUGGAUUAUAUGUGUCCUCAUUACAGUGGUACCUCGGUUUAUGAACUUAAUCCAUUCCGGAAGUCCGUUCUUAAACCAAAACCAUUCUUAAAUUGAGGUGCGCUUUCCCUAAUGAGGCCUCCUACCGCCGGUGCCAUUCCACCAUUCAGAUUCCGUUCUUAGACUGAGGUAAAGUUCUCCAACCAAGACACUAUUUCUGGUUUUGCGGAGUUUGUAAACCAAAUCAUUCUUAAACCGGACUCUUCUUAAACUGAGGUACCACUGUACUUCAUCAAAACCAACUUAGAUAUGAGGGGUUUCUCAUGUAUGGCAGCUGAAAACUAGCCCUCUGACCAGGAGUGUGCCCACAGUAUUCUCACAGUGGUACCUUUCUAUGUAUGUUCCAAUGCCAAGUGAUGCAGUCAUAUGCAGUACGAGGGCUGUAGGUUAUAACAUCUGUCACAGAGGUUUGUCCUCCAGCUUAGGAGGUAGUCCUGCAGUACCCCAUUUGACAAUGUAACUUUAUUUCAAUCCUUCUAGGAGCAUAGGAAGUUGGGGACAACAGCAGUGGUGUUUACUUGCAGGCUGUUUAGAUGUCUUCCCGCUAAACAUUUAUUCAUUCCACAUUUUUCAAUGCAUUUCCCUGGCACUCCCCUAAUUGCAAAACGUCCUUUUCUUUCUUCCUUUUUUAAAAAAGUGGAUUUGGUAUGCACGAGCAACACAACACUUUAAUCCGCUUAAAUUGUGUGAACCUAAAUUUCCCAGCAUGCUAUUUAAAAACCCCUCACAAAAUACUGACAGUCUGGAGGAGCCCUUAAACUAACCAGCAGCUUGUAGUCUUUAGUGAAGUCAUUUUAAGUAUCACAUUCAUAUGGUUUGUGUGUCCUCUUUUUACACUUGAUUGAAACUGCAUUGAUUGAAAAUGCUGAGGACUAAUACUGUACUUAGGCUCUUGGCUUUAAAGGCCGUUUGUUUAUUUCAGCACCAGUUUCCUGAACAAUACAAGCUCUGGUUGCAAGUGGGAAGCUGUGGGUAUGAAUUUUCCCAUGUAUAGUAUCUCCUUGUAAUUAGAAAACUAGCACUAGUCAUUAGAAGACCUUACCCUGGCUCUCUUCCUGAAAUGCUGUGUUUCUAUGUGCAUGGAAACACCAAACAUUCAUGAACAUCACACAUAAUAAUCAUAAUCAUAAUAAUAAUAAUUUAUUAUUUAUACCCCGCCCAUCUGGCUGGGCUUCCCCGGCCACUCUGGGCGGCUUCCAAAAGAAUACCAAAAUACUAUAAUACAUCAAACAUUAAAAGCUUCCCGAAACAGGGCUGCCUUCAGAUGUCUUCUAAAAGCCUGGUAGUUGUUGUUCUCUUUGACAUCUGGUGGGAGGGUGUUCCACAGGGAAGGCGCCACUACCCUCCCCCUCCCACAGUCCAGGAAGGGAGAAAGGGCUGGCACUAGCUGAUUCUGCCAGUUUUUCAGAGUUUGAGCUGCAUAGAUUUGGAAACAUACGCCGCUGGCACACAGGACCUUAGAUCCCUUUCUCUCUCCUGGAUUUGCCUGCCUUUAACACAGCCAGCAGCACGUCGAGCCAAAAAGCUGCCUUUAUUGUGUCUCUUUUUACAUGCAGGGAGGUUCAGUAAGGGUUUUAUGGCCCUAGCUUUGCGAUGCUUGCUCACACAAAGUUUGGGAGCCUCUGGCAUAGACAAUACAUGCUUAUGUAUUUCACAAAGCGGCAAAUAUGUGCUAAGCAAAUGAGAAACAGCUGCAGCCUGUUGGGGGUUGGUGGGAACUGGCACUCAGGGAGGAUUGUAUGUCUGGGCUUUCUGCUCAUUUUGUCCAUCGUGAACAUGCCUCUGCUGUUGAAACUUGAUUUUAUUUUAUUAUUUUUAUAUCUAGGACACGCAGCUCUCAUAUCCUGAGCGUCACUCAAAAAGGCAUUUCCUUGAUUAUAAUUCCUCAACUAUCGUAAUUGAUGAAAUGGUAUUCCCAGCUGAUGGCACCAGAAUAGGAAAACCAGGAUAGUUUAAUUCUUAAACUGACCUGAUUUUCAGCUUUUGAAAUUAGAUUAUUUUCUGGAUGUCUCCAUCUGCUGACAUUUCUAUCUGUCACAAAUAUGAGUGUGACUGUUAUCCUGACAAUGCUAAGGAUCUUAUGAUGGUGUGUCAGCCACCAAAUAGCUGAACAAAGUGAUAUGAAGCUAUCCAGUGCUUUUUUUCCCCCUUAAAAAAUGUUUAGGGGUACUCUCAUUUCCCUACUCAUAUUGAAAUAUUAACCCACAAUGAGGCCAAACUUAGAUUUGCAAAAUGUUUAGGGGUAUGCAUCCCCCCAGAAAAAAAGCACUGAAGUUACCAUUUUCUUCAUGUUCCACAACAAAUUCCCUCUGUGUUUGGGGUUCAGAAUCAAUAUAUCAGCUUGAUAAAAGUCCAGUCAUUCAAUACAGACUGAAAACACACCACAGCAAGGAAUGAACUAUGAACUUGCUAGAGUUCCUUUCUCACUUCCGAGUUCAGUGAGUACACCCGGAAAUUGUAUUUUGUUAUUUUAUUCAAGAGAAUCCAACUUCCCUUGCUGAAUAUUCCAGGCAUUUAGAAUCUAGGAAAUAGUAAACACACACACACACCUCCAAGAGAGUAGACACACACAAGCUCCCCCCCCCUAUUAUUCAUGGGCUGUAGAGUUGAAAGAUAGUGCCCCGCAUGGUGGAGGUUGUUUGAACAAAACAUCCUGCUGAUAAGUUGCUUUUGAAGAUAUAUAGUGUUCGGUUUGCAACAAGUACUCAAUAAUUCCAAAUCUGCAUGCACUUACAAAAGACUUAUGCACCCAUUAGUCUCAAUCUACUUGCACUGUGUGAGGACCAGUGCAUGCAAACAGAGGAUUCCAACAGCCCUGGUGAGCACACUCAAGCAUACAUGGAAACAGCAGGGCCCGGCCAUUAAACAGAGUACAAGGUGUGUGUCGUGCCUAUAUCCACUCAGCCAAGCUUCUCUGCCUGAUGCAAGUUAUGCAUGACCUGGAGCAUAACUCACUGGUAUUGAGACAAAAUGGAUGGAUGGGGAAAUGGAAGAUUAUGUGCGUACAGGGGUGUGUGGGUUUUUAAAAAUCUCCAAAGACUACAUCGAAGUAAAAGAGUGGUCACCUGGGAUGGGAGAGGCCACUGAUAUGCUUCUCCUAUGUUUAGGGUUGCCAGAUUUCAAAAAGUAAAAUUCCUGACACCCGCAAAGUUGUUGAGCAUUUUUUGGAAGGCCCUAAAAUUGUGGACAACAUCUUAAAAAGCAGAGACAUCACCUUGCCAACAAAGGUCCGUAUAUUUAAAGCUAUAGUUUUCCCAGUAGUGAUGUAUGGAAGUGAGAGCUGGACCAUAAAGAAGGCUGAUCGCCAAAGAAUUGAUGCUUUUGAAUUCUGGUGCUGGAGGAGACUCUUGAGAGUCCCAUGGACUGCAAGAAGAUCAAACCCAUCCAUUCUGAAGGAAAUCAGCCCUGAGUGCUCACUGGAAGGACAGAUCCUGAAGCUGAGACUCCAAUACUUUGGCCACCUCAUGAGAAGACUCCCUGGAAAAGACCCUGAUGUUGGGGAAAGAUUGAGGGCACAAGGAGAGGGGGACAGCAGAGGAAGAGAUGGUUGGACAGUGUUCUUGAAGCUACCAGCAUGAGUUUGACCAAACUGCGGGAGGCAGUGGAAGACAGGAGUGCCUGGCGUGCUCUGGUCCAUGGGGUCACGAAGAGUCGGACACGACUAAACGACUAAACAACAACAACAAAAUUGUGGAGCUUUUUAAAGGAAAUCAUCAGAUUGUUGAAAAAAACCCCACCCAAAUUGUUAAGCUUUUCUUGGGAAACCUAACCCCAAAAAUAGUGAUUUUAAGCUUUUGAACUGUUUCUCCAUACAUCCAGGUUUUCCCAAGCAUUUUGUUGAUUCAGCAACAUUUCCCCCAACGACAUUUUUACAGCCAAAAACCAGGACACGUCAGGAAUGUUCCUGAUGUAUGGCAAGCCUACAGUCCUUUCCUUGCUCAAAUUAGCACUUUUUCUCCUAGGUUUGGGAAGAGGAUGUUGAGAAUAACGUAGCCCAUUCCAGGAAGUUUGGGGUUUACCAAAUGAGGAAGGGGUGAGUCUUUCACUUUCAUUGAAGGUAGUUUACUCAAGCUUCUGCCACUGUUUAGAACCACAGUUUUUCUCUCAGUUCUCCCUUCUUUACUCAGACUUCUGUUGUUUUAAGCCACCACUUUCCCCCUCUGUGUCCCUCCCUUCUUAGUCCCAUGCCAUGGCCAUUGCUGUUAGUUUUGCUUCCUUACCCCACCUUGGCUUCAUACAAAUCCAGGAUUGUGAUGGUCACAUCCACAACACUUGCUCAAAAAUCCAGAUGUGCCCAUAGGCCUAAAAAUUAGUGAGCCCCUGAUCUGGGUGGGGUGUCAGUCAUCCCCCUAUAAAGCUAACCUCAAGCUUUGUUAUAACUUGGCAUUGCUCCUUUUGUGGCUCCGUAAUAAAGCUGAUUCAUUUUCUGGAAUGUAAAAGAGUCGCAUUCACUAUUCAGCCCCCUUUAAUCUUCUUGAGAAACUGUAUGCCACAAUUUACCUCUUCAAUGUGUAGGUAGUAUUAUUUCAUUUCCCGAUCGUUAUCUGCACAUACUGGCUUCAAAGCAUCUAUAGUUGUGAAUGUAACACAUUUCACCAAGCUAAGUGAAACUGAUUCCAUCCUCCACUGAAGUGGAUCCAUCACCACGGUGGCUGCGCCGCCCAGUAAUUUCAGGUGGCUUAUAAAUGGAAACUUAUCUAGAAAUGGUGUAUUUGCUUUCUGUCUAAGCCUAUAAAUUCCCAGCCAGCAUGGCCAAUGGGCUAGGAUGAUGGGAACGGGAGUUCAUCAAAAUCUGGAGGUUAAUAUGUUAGUCACCACUAUUUUGGAUUAUUACAUUAUGCCAAUUCUGUACAGAGAGAAGCAAAUACAUUCAUGAUUUUUUAAAAAAACCAUUAUUUCUGCUCAUACAUAACAAAAUCAUGUUGGUUACCAAUUUCUUAAUAUGUAGCAGCUGCAAAGUGUCCUUGCCACCUCCUUUGGUACAGCUUCUUCUACUAAAGCAAAGAGUUUUGUGGCACCUUAAAUUCUAACAAGUUUAUCACAGCAUGUUAUUCUUUAAAAUGUUACAAAGCCAUUGUAUAUGUUUCAUAGGACCGUUCUUCUAAAGCUACACCAACAAAUGUUCUUCCACACUAAAAUAGUAAUAAUAAUCAUAAUACAGUCAUACCUCAGAAGUUGAACAGAAUCCGUUCCGGAAGUCUGUUCAACUUCUGAAACAUUCGACUUCUGAAAUGCGGCUACUGACUGGCUGCAGGAGCCCCAUCGGACAUUCGGCUUCCAAAAGAACAUUUGAAAACCAGAACACUCACUUCUGGUUUUUGACCAUUUGGGAGCCGAAAGGUUAGACUCCCAAGGCGUUUGGGAGCCGAGGUACGACUGUAGAAUGACUGCCGUGAUAGGUUCUGUUUACCAAUUCAUCUGUCUUUUUUUCUUUUAACCUCUAAUUCCAUGUCCAAAGAGCUGAAGGUGGGGAAAAGUGAAACAACUGAUAACAAAAUAAAAUCUUGUGUAUUAAAGGUCAUUCCAGAACAACUGAAGCCCACCCCGCUCUUCAUCCCCAAAUACUUGUCCAAACAACAUCUUCCGAUGCUCAGAAUCUAAAUCAGUUCUCCUUUGACAUUUUGUACUUGGAUGCUUAAUAAGCCCAAGUACAAAUAAACGCCUCCCCGGUCCUAAUACCACAGUAUAGUUGAGCCGAGGUCUGCACAGCUGAAAUAAUCACAUGUAGCCUCUGUCUCCAUUUCUGUUUUCUUCACUUUGUUGGCUUCCUUACUUCUUUUUCCAGACUUCAGUCCCUUUGAGGGCAGGGACCUCUAAUCUCAUUCUUUAUAAAGUGCCAUGUAAAAUUUGGUGCUGUACUGACAAUAGGCAAAAUAACAAUCAGUUGGUGCAUGUGCAUCAUGUAAAAUCAAUACUUUUGUCAACAAAGCACAGGGAAGCAGCAAUCAGAAAACAGCUUGUCUCUCCAUCCAUGCAUAUUUUGUUCAGAAAUAUACAUCCACAGUUCCCAAAUGAAAAAGGCAGAGGUGUUUUGUGUUUAGGUAUGGGAAGCUACCUUACACUCAGACCAAUUGUUCAUCUCUUUCAGUAUUUGUCUGCAGUGAUUGGUAGUGGCUCUGCAGGAUUUCAGAAAGCGUCCUCUCCCAGCCUUGCUUGGAAAUGCCAGAAAUUGAACCUGAGACCUUUGUAUGCAAAGCAUUACUUCUGAAAACAGGGUAACUACUGCAUAUAUUUAUCAAAAGGCAAGCAUUUUCAACCAUCAGAAGACUCCCACUCUUUAUUUUGUAUAGGAGAAGCAGCUCAAACUGAAUUUGUGAUGUCUGAAAUUGGCCUAAAUAUAAAUAUUCACAUUAUUCUGCCUCUUUGCCUGCCUCUGAUAAUCAGAAGCAAAUGAUUGGGCAUCAGCCUCAUUAUUUUGUGCCCUAAACCAGGCAUAGGGAAAGUUCUUUUCAGUUACAGGAAAGUUCUUUUCAUCUAGGAUCUAGACAGUCUGGUUUAAGUGUAGAAUUUCCAAAACCACAUAGCUGAAUCGCCUACUUAUUAGUCAUUUGAGCACACAACUGCCUUCAAACUGGGGGUUGCACAAGACAUUUAUUUCAGUUUCUGGGAAAUGAUUCCCCCCCCCCAUGUGCUGGUUUACUACACAGAGGGAGUUCAGGGUAGGAGAGAGAGACUUGGCACGGGGAACAUUUGCAACUAUGACAGUACAAUGCAGAAGUCUCUCACCCCUGGCUAUCGCCACAUUCUGUGCACUGUGCAGAUUGCAUCUCCACUUCUCAGUGUGACUGUGGUAUCUUUGCUCCAUACUCAGGAGGUGUUUGAAUUCCAUUGAACUAUAGAGUUUUUAAUAAGAAGAAAGGCCUCCUCUGAUGAAAUUUCGCCUCCUGUAAUGCAGGGUGCAACUCUGUUGUUCUUUCAGCAUUGAUGGAUGAAGGAAGCCAGAGGUUAUGAAAAGAGGACUGGGCAGAACGUGAGCCAAGCUUGUCACUUGCUUCAAUAAUGUGAAUAGUGAACUGUGUUAAAAUAGGAUCCACAGUUGCGGUCAACAUCCAUGGAUGAUGAAGUUGGAGAGGCCAUUCCCCUCAAUGUUCUCUAGAGGAAGACUGAACUUCUCCAGCAGUUCCAGGCAAGCUUGCAAAAGACAAUUCUCAAAACUUUAUCAGAAAAUUAUUUUCUGUCCAGAGAAAAACAAGACCGGUGUAACCUUCAGCAUCCAAACUGUGCAAAUACACACUCCCACUGAAAUAUACUCGGAGUCGAGAGUGGAUUUCAUGCUUUUUAUUCAGCUCAUAGUGGUGAGGAGAAAUCGAAGUUCCCUCAGAAUGUCUGCUUUAUAUACAUUAUGUACACAAUGGACCCCAUGUGUUGGCUAAUUUCGGGAUUCUCCUGUAAGCAGAUUCACUUCCACUUGGAGCUAGAUUGGGUGGCUCCUGUGGACCAAUCAGACUGCUGCAUUCUGGAUCCUAUUGUUCUAGGACCAAUCAGACUGCUGCAUUUUGGAUCCUAUUCAACUCAGUACAUAACACCCACUGUCUCUACUUACUGGGGCAGUUUUCUGGCAUCUUUGUGACUCUUCUAUGUUUUUAGCAGUUUUUGAUUUUAACUGUAAGCUACCUUGAGUCCCAUCAAGGUGGGGUAUGAAUAAAUAUACUAUACUAAAAAUAAACUGUCUCUGUUAAAUCGCUGCCCCAGUUUUGCCUCUUAAGGAGAUACCACCCCAAGCAUUUCCUUCAUGGCUGCAUAUCUGUACUAGCUUCUACUCCUGACCACUGCCUUAGUACCAAGAUAAUUAAAUGUUUCUAAACAGUUUUGAGUUGCAGCUUGUUCUAUAAUAAGCGCAACCAGCGCCAUUGUGAGAAUUAAACAUACUUAAGCUUUGAAAGACACAAACUGUUGGAAUCAGUUUACUAACACCUUUGCAUCGGAGAACAUGUGUAAGGCGGGGGAGGAAACUCAGCAGCGAUGGUUGGAGAACAGAGAUAGAUGCACACACAGAUACUGGAAAUGUUGGAUACUGGAUGGGCAUCAUCUGGUCUAUCUGACUGUUGAAUAUAUUCCCAGAUCUGUACAGGCCCACUUCUGCAUUAAUCUGCCAUGUUAAUAAUAAUAAUAAAUCUACAUGAACGCCCACAUUUCUGAGCACAAUUCAAAAGUAUUGGUGCUGACCUUUAAAGCCCUAAAUGGCUUUGGCCCUGUAUACCUGAAGGAACAUCUCCAUCCCCAUCGUUCAGCCGAGACACUGAGAUCCAGCUCCAAGGGCAUUCUGGCAGUUCCCUCAUGGCAGGAAGUGAGGGAACCAGGCAGAGGGCCUUCUUGGUAGUGAUGCCCACCCUGUGGAAUGCCCUCCCAUCAGAAAUAAACAGCUACCUGACUUUUAGAAAACGUCUGAAGGUAGCCCUGUAUAGGGAAGUUUUUAAUGUUGAUGUCGUAUUGUGUUUUAAUUUGUUGGAAGCUGCCCAGAGUGGCUGGGGUAACCCAGUCAGAUGGGCAGCAUAUAAAUAAAUUAUUAUUAUUAUUAUUGAAAUAUAUAUUUUUAAAACGUAUUUUGUUGUAUUUUUAACCCCCCCUUUUUGAGCUAAUAACUGGGUAACUGGGUUGGAUCACUUGGGAAGUGCAAACCCUGGUUGAUACCCAAAUUGCUUUCCACACAUUCAUCUGCACCUCCUGGGUGAGGUUUGCAUGUAUCUGAAUUUGCAAUCGUCCCUAGCUGGGAGGUUUGUGUACAUGAAAACCUGAAAUUCCCUGUAGCCUAUAAACAAGUUGCUAGCAGCACCGUCCUAGGCGUGCCUACUUUGAAGUAAGUCCAGUUGAGUCCAAUAGGCCGUACUCCCAUGUAAGUUUCCAUACCAUCACAACCUUGGACAUAAUCCCGAGUAAACAUUUCUUUUCUUGAGGGUAAUUUUAAACAUGUCUUUGCCUUGAAAUUCAAGAAACAGCACCCUCACUCCUUGCUUAAGGCUGGAUCCCUAUUACCUGAAAGGAAAUGACUUGUGAUCAGAAAACAGAAUAACAUAUAAUUAUCAAAAAGCAAGUGUUCUCAAGCAUCAGAAAACUUCAGUCCUUUAUUUCACGCAGGAGAAUUGAUUUGAGCCGAAUUUGUGGUGGCUGGAAUUGCCCCAAAUAGAAAUAUUCAAGUGAAACAAAGAAAAGGUUUUAACAGUAGUAUUAUAUGCAUUUCACCACUACUAGUGCCAGAUGAGACACGCACAGGAUUGCUCUGUUAGUGAGUCUGCCUCGUUACCUUAGUUUAUAGACAGUAAGUGAGCUUCAGACUCACACGCACACCCUACCAAUUACAGAGUGUACUCCCAGUUCUGUUCGCAUCUGUUGAACUUUUCUUUUCUUUUCUGAAGAAAGAGGGCAGAACGUUGACACCAAGGUUGUGCACUGAGUCUCUUGCACUUGCUGAUAUGGAAAAGGCCCAGAGAAAGUGUAGUUCCAUAUUUUGAAAUGGGAUUGACUUGAGCCAGCACAGUCUUUUUCUCCCAUCAGCUGGUCUGGUGACAAAUAGGGCCCCUUCUUUCUUUCUUUCUUUCUUUCUUUCUUUCUUUCUUUCUUUCUUUCUUUCUUUCUUUCCUUACCCUAACAGGAAACCACACAGACCAGGAAGUAAUGAAUGAUUAUACAAAACUGGGCUGAUGAACCCCAAGAGGGAGUGUCUGAGCAAAUAAUAAUAGGAAAAUUCAAUAUUUCUAGUCAGGAACCUGGAAUUACAAGGGGAUCUGUUAAGCAUCUCAAUAUCAUUGAUAUCAGCUACUAUAUUAGGUUCCCACCCCCCUCUUUAGCUUCAUCGUUCAAAUUACUGCAUAUUCACCAGGAACAUGCAACUCAAACCACUAUAUAUGCUGAUCUAAUACAAAAUAUUGUUGAAUUAACAGCUUAAAUGCUGGCUGGACAGAUUUUUUCAUUGUUUAACCUAGGUGUAGUCAACCUUUUUAUACCUACUGCCAACUAAUGCAUCUUUCUUGAUGGUAAAAUUUCCUUUCCGCCCACCAGUGCUCAAGGGAAGGAUUCAGCUUGUGCCGUAGAACCCCCUACCGCCCACCCAGAAUCCUCAAACGCCCGCUAGUGGAUGGUAGGGACCAGGUUAACAACCCCUGGUUUAACCAUUCCUCUAAUGGUUAAUGCAAUAACAACACAAGAAUAUAAGGUUAAUGGGUAAAGAAGAAAAAGAUAAGGCAUGUUUUCUUCUUAGGUUUAGGAUGAGGCAGCAAUAAUAAUUAAAAAAAAAACUUUGUCCCACCAGCCUCUGCCAGUGAAGUGAAGCCAGCAUCACUCUACUGACAGGGAACUCCCUAUUCUUCCCAGCAAACAUGCAGGACCCUGUGUAUUAUAUGCACAAAUGGAAACUGCAUGCUACUCCCAUAGCUUGCCCCAGCUGCAAAUACUUGGGGCUCUGCACAUGGUUCCAUUUUCUCAACCGGGACUGUCUGAACAAUCCCAAUGAGAUCAUUCAUAUGAUUAGCUUUGAAAGCAACAAAUCCUCUGUGAGCAUGCUGAGGGGAUUGAAUCCAGGUUCUUAGGCCAUACAUAGACACGCCAUAUUUUUAACUGACCCUGGUGGCUAUAUUUGCAUGGGGGUAAGAACCAAUAGAGAUACAGUACUCUGCUCUGGUACGUGUAUCUCUGGAUUUGUGUAUCAGAGAUACCCACUAGAUUUGUUCCAGUACAACUAAGAAUGUCCAGGUUUUGAGCCUGGCCCAUUACUUAAUAAAUGCACAAAUCUGUAGGCUUUAAUCGCUCGAUGUUGUUGUUGUUGUUGUUGUUGUUAAUACCCCACCCAUCUGGCUGGGCUUCCCCAGCCACUCCGGGCGGCUUCCAACAAAAUAUUAAAAUACAGUAAUCCACCAAACAUUAAAAGCUUCCCUAAACAGGGCUGCCUUCAGAUGUCUUCUAAAAGUCUGGUAGUUGUUGUUCUCUUUGACAUCUGGUGGGAGGGCGUUCCACAGGGCGGGCGCCACUACCGAGAAGGCCCUCUGCCUGGUUCCCUGUAACUUGGCUUCUCGCAGUGAGGGAACCGCCAGAAGGCCCUCAGAGCUGGACCUCAGUGUCUGGGUAGAACGAGGGGGGUGGAGACACUCCUUCAGGUAUACUGGACCGAGGCCAUUUAGGGCUUUAAAGGUCAGCACCAACACUUUGAACUGUGCUCGGAAACGUACUGGGAGCCAAUAUAGGUCUUUCAAGACUGGUGUUAUGUGGUCUUGGCGGCUGCUCCCAGUCACAUGUCUAGCUGCCGCAUUCUGGAUUAGUUGUAGUUUCCGGGUCACCUUCAAAGGUAGCCCCAUAUGUUGUUUUCCCAUAUCAGAGAAAUGGCAGACCUUUGGAUUCUACAGAUCCACCGUCUCCCAUGCUCUGGUUCAAUCAUGUCCCAAACACAUCCAGAAUAUCGGUAACAGAGGAAUUAUGGUGAUGGAGCUUUGUGUUACACAACAGGGAAGACUCCAGCAAUGAACUUCCUUCUCCACCCACGCAGAGGGAUAUCUAAGGUACCAAUAACCCCUCUGCUGCCUUUUCCUGGAAUUUAGGAUUGUUCCCUUCGAAGUGUAGACCAAGUGGAAUCUUUUAAACAAUGAACUCAUCUUCUUCAUAUUUUCUCUGAAGUGCCAUACUGUUUGGUUUGUUUGUUUUUUAAUGUAUUUUUAUUAACGGUUUCUUGGUUUGCAAAAGUAUGUGCAAUGUCUCUUUUUUCAAGUUACAUUUUCUACAGAUCUGUUUCAUUUGUUGAGACAUUAGUGUUACAUUAGGAAGAAAAAGGGGGAAAGAGAUGGAGGGGGGAUGGUGAGUGGGGUUGGGGUUGGGUAGCAAUGUUUCUAUUUUACUUAAUGUACGUGUGGGGUUUUAUGUCAGCAUUGCUUGUGCAGGUUCUCUUUGCUAUUCGCUUGUGUUCCUUUGGUGUUGAGAGAGGUUGGGGGUUGACCUAGGGUGUGAUUGUUCAUUUGUGAUUGGCUGUGGUGAACUUUGUUUUCAUGUGUGAGUGGGGUGGGUGGAUGUUUUGGAUCAGGUUAGCCAUAUUGACUCUUAUGCUGUUGAUGGAUUCUUGUUGUUGUCUUGUUGGGCUAUGUAUGAGAUAAAGGAGAGCCAUACUGUGGUGAAGGCGUCUUUUUCCGUUUGUCCCCAUGUCAGUUUCAGUUUAAUUUUUCUAGUAAGGCUGCUUCCCAUAUUAUUUGGUACCAUUGGUCCAUGCUUACUCCUGACAGGUCUCUCCAGUGUCUGGUUAUGAUGCCAUACUGUUUGAUGGAAUUUUCAUCUGUCAAGAUAUCUAGGUCUUGUUUUAGGGCCAAGUUUGGUAGCAAUCAACCAAUUUUCAGAGUAAACGCAUUGGAAGAAAGUCAAGGUAGGACAAGGUGAUUACUUUAUUGGAACAAGCAUUUAUGUGUUGGAAAUGGCCAAACUAUACACAUGUCCAUUUUCUAGCUACCUGUUCCAUAUGCUUGAGGUUUGGAUCUAAGGUUUAGAUCUAUGAGAGUCCCGCCUAUCCCCAGUGUUAAAAUGGGCUCCCCCAUCUUGUCUUUACUUGUCUUUACUGUUCUUAUUAAGCAAACAUUUGUGUCACAGCCCAUUUAAAAAGUCCACAUUGCAUUAAGCCUAUAAAGGCAGCUUCCUGUUUCUUCAGGCUUCUUUCAAGUGCAGUUCCACCCUCCUAGUGUGUAAGCAGCCUUGAAUUAAAAAUGAGCAGGUGAUGAAACACAGAAUCCACAUCCUUGAAGUACUUGCAACCCCUGAAUUUCAAAAUCGCUCCUUCUCCCCAGUGAGCUCUCUUGACUUACACUGAGUGUAAAAGAGCAUAAAAAUGAGUGGCAAUUUAUGCACAUAAAUCUGAGAGUACCUCCUUGUCCUUCCUUCUCUCUUGCACAUCGGUACAGAGGCUGAAGAGCAAGGCAGCUUGAGCCGUAGGGCUAAACUCCUCCAAGGCAAAUUGGCAGCCUCAGCUACUGUAAUUUCCUAAUUGGACUUCAGCGGGGCUGAACUAUACCAACAAUCAUCCGAGGAGAAGCAGGAGAGGAGUCUGGGUGCACAGUGAUGUCUGCAUCGAGCUCUUUCAGUCAUUGUUCAGCUCAGUGCCAUAAUAAGGCGCUGCUGAUAUACCAUUGCCCGCAGCUAUUCUAAGAGUUGUUCGCGUUUUUCUUAAAGUGUGAGAAAGAAACAGCACUGCACAAAGCUUUCCAUUUAAAAAAGGGCUGGGGAUUUAUUCUGUUCAUACCCAGUAUUCUGCCUCUGAAUACCAGUUGUGGGGAAUCACAAGUGGGAGAGUGUUAUGUUGCUUGUUCAAGUCCUGUUUAUGUCCCACUUGCAGUACUAAGAAUCGCUUUUACAGAAUUAUGAUUCCAAUCGAUGCCCUCGGCGAUGGUGGAUGUUCAGUACGGCAAAGGAGAGACUUUGUCUGUGUGGGCAACCUUGCGUAGAGGACCUGUACCACUAUUUAUUGCAAUGCCCACUACAUACAGAACCACGAGACCGAUUUAUAAAACCCCUGCUCACGAAUGGAACACACUUGAACAGG